GUCCCAGCCAGGAGGCCAUCCCGGCAUGCCGGCCGCAGCAUGCGGUGGCCUGUAGGCCCCACACGAUCGUGGGCCGCCAUCCCGACCCAGGCAGCUGUCUCGGCAUGCGGCGGCUCGCAGGCCUCAUGCGGUUAUGGGCUGCCGUCUUGACACGUCGGCCGUCUCGGCACGUCGGCCGCAGCACGCGACCACGGGCCAUCUUCCCGGCCU
rnacentral:lncRNA from 1 species